rnacentral:rRNA from 1 species
UACGGGGGAUGCAAGCGUUAUCCGGAUUUAUUGGGUUUAAAGGGUGCGUAGGCGGACGCUUAAGUCAGCGGUAAAAUUGCGGGGCUCAACCUCGUCGAGCCGUUGAAACUGGGUGCCUUGAGUGGGCGAGAAGUACGCGGAAUGCGUGGUGUAGCGGUGAAAUGCAUAGAUAUCACGCAGAACUCCGAUUGCGAAGGCAGCGUACCGGCGCCCAACUGACGCUGAAGCACGAAGGCGUGGGUAUCGAACAGG